UGAUGGAGAGGAGAGGUGUGCUGGAAGCUUGCUGCUGCUGCUGCUGCUGCAGGAGGAUGUUGCGCACUUCAAUUUACCUCAGGAGGAGUGAGUGCUGCGAGCAUCCAUGCGGUAUUGCGUAGUCAUGUUAUUUAUGAGGAGGACCCGUAUCAUCCAUCUGUUGUGCUCUGGAAUCAAAUGGCCUGCUAUCCUUUUGAAGUAAAAACCCCAACAUGACUGCAGUCAGCUGACCAGCAAACAAGGAUUGCUUUCAACUUUGAGCGCAAGUGCGUGACGCUGGCACACACAGAGACCUCCCCAGAGAGAGAGAGAGCCUGUUUCUAUUCCCCUGAGUGGCAACUGCAAAACAGUGUUUGUAGCAUUACCCCUGAGAUGCCGGCUGAAGCAAUCACAAGGCUGUAGAGCCACACAGCUCCAUUGUCUGAAUUACAUAACAAAUGAAGAUUCAUCUGAUCAAG